GACGAACGCUGGCGGCGUGCUUAACACAUGCAAGUCGAACGGAAAGGCCCUGCUUUUGUGGGGUGCUCGAGUGGCGAACGGGUGAGUAACACGUGAGUAACCUGCCCUUGACUUUGGGAUAACUUCAGGAAACUGGGGCUAAUACCGGAUAGGAGCUCCUGCUGCAUGGUGGGGGUUGGAAAGUUUCGGCGGUUGGGGAUGGACUCGAGGCUUAUCAGCUUGUUGGUGGGGUAGUGGCUUACCAAGGCUUUGACGGGUAGCCGGCCUGAGAGGGUGACCGGGCACAUUGGGACUGAGAUACGGCCCAGACUCCAACGGGAGGCAGAAGUGGGGAAUAUUGCACAAUGGGCGGAAGCCUGAUGCAGCAACGCCGCGUGCGGGAUGACGGCCUUCGGGUUGUAAACCGCUUUCGCCUGUGACGAAGCGUGAGUGACGGUAAUGGGUAAAGAAGCACCGGCUAACUACGUG
rnacentral:rRNA from 1 species